rnacentral:SRP_RNA from 1 species
GUGCGGGUCCUGUGCGACAGGGGACCGUGAACCAUGUCAGGCGGGGAACCGAGCAGCAUUAAGCGGUUAUACCUGUGCGCCGCAGUCAAUCUGCACAUU